CGAUCUGGAGACAUCAAUUUUCCCCUUCAUAAAUUUCAUGAAAAUUAACAUGACUACAGUGUGUCAGCUAAUUGGCAUUGAAUACCAGUGUACAUGUCAAGAUCAGUAUUUCUGGUCACUUGAUAACUGUGCUAUGUAUGGCACCUGUAAUUACGCGAAUGAAAAUGCAUGUACCUGUAUCAAUGCACUUCCCAGUGAUGGACAGAUGUGUGUGCCAACAAGUGAACUGCCAAUCUUUUACUAUCUGGUUGAAUUUAGGAUUAAUACUGAAAACACAUCAGUGAUCAAUGAAGGCAGAAACUUCCUUGGAGGAGUCAAUUUACCAUUUUUCUUUGGUCAGGUAGCAGAAAUUACAGAUGUGGAAAU